rnacentral:lncRNA from 1 species
CUCGUCCCGGCCCGCCCCGCGCCGGUCCAACUCGGGCCGGUUCGCGUACGUCUGGGUAGGGAACUCGGCGGCCCAGUGCCCGGGCCAGUGCGCGUGGCCCUUCCACCGGCCCAUCUACGGCCCACAGACCCCGCCGCUGGUGGCGCCUAACGGCGACGUCGGGGUCGACGGCAUGGUGAUCAACCUCGCCAGCAUGAUCGCCGGCGCCGUUACGAAUCCGUUUGGGGACGGGUUCUUCCAGGGGCCCAAGGAGGCGCCGUUAGAGGCGGCGACGGCGUGCACGGGGGUGUACGGGAAGGGGGCGUAUCCUGGGUACGCCGGGGACCUGCUGGUGGACCCCGCCACGGGUGCGAGCUACAACGCGAAUGGGGCCCACGGGAGGAAGUACUUGGUUCCGGCACUCUUUGACCCGUCAACGUCCUCCUGCUCCACCUUGGUGUAGGACUGGAUCGGACUACUUUUUGUACACACGUGAACUAGUUACAAAAGAAAAGAGACUAGAAAAUAAAAAAAAACAAAAUAUGGAGGCGUGCGUAGUGCUAUAUAUAUAUAUAUAUACAAAAUAUAGUUUGUAUGUGUAAUUCUUUCGUUUGUUCGACGAGACUGAAAUAGUAUCUCAAUGUAAAUGUAAGUUUUCCAUAAUAUAUUACCUUGUUAUAUGCUUGCGACAUGCAUUAUCUAUUAACUAUAUAUUAAUCCUCAAUACAAUACAAUAGCUGAUGUGGUAAAAUUUUAAUUUUUAAAAUUUUUUUUUGUUUUUUAAUAGUGAAUUUGUUCUCUCAUCUACUCCCUAUAACUUAACCUCUACAAUUUAAUUUUUUCUUUUAGUUUAGUGUGAUAUUAUUACAAACGUUUUAUUUUAACAGCUUUUAUUGUUAUAAUUUUAUAAGUGGUUUUUCAACUUUCUAUAUCAGGUUAAAUAUAAAUAGCUAAUUCAGUUAAUUAAUAAUCUUUAUUAUCCAUCAAAUAUUUUUUUUUUAUAAACUGAUAUUGCCAUUAUUAUUCAUUUUUCUAUUUUUAUUACUUUCCUAUUUGACCUGCAUGAGUAUCUAACAAUUACUAAAAAUCUUGAUCUAACUUUUCUAUAUUAGUAUUCUAAUUUUAAUAUCCAAUUUAACCCUUUUCAAAUUCCAAGCAUUUUGUAACCUAAAUUAAUUACUGUUACUUAUUUCUUACAACUUAAAAUUUUUCGUUGAGAAUAUUAAAAAGUUUGCUAACAGAGAAUACUAAUAGUCUUUGUUUUUAAAAUUUUUCAUGUGCUAUAGCUAUAAAGUCUUCCCCCAAAUUAGAAAAGUGUUUUACCAUCAUGUAUUUUCAUGCAAAAGUUAUAGAAGAUUCAAUAAAACUGCUCAACACUCCAUAGGAGCAAUAAAUCAUAAUAUAGUAAGUUUCAGCAUAUUGAUAAUAUAUUAUUUAAAUAAAUUUUUUAACAAAAUUAUGGCAAAGCUUAUAUUUUUUUUCUUUUUACAUAUAUAUUUAGAGCUCUCUCAGCUUUUGAAUAAAAAGUUAGCAUUUAAUUAGUUUUUUUUUUAGAAUAUAUGUUGAAAACUGUUUAUGGUAAUAAACAAGCCUAUUGCACCAUAAAUUUAUUCUAAACUAUGCGUCAAAAUAAAAUUUUGAUAAUAUAAUAAAUAAUUUAAAAAUUUUUUAUUAUCUCAUAUUUUAUUUUGCAAUAUUAGUUUUUAAAUACUCUAUCAACUAUAUAAUAUUAUAUGCGUUGUAUGAAAAAUUAGGUGCAAAUAAAUAAUUUUUCAUUCUUUUAGAAGUAGCAGGUUACCAUUAACCAAUGAAGGAUGCCAUAUAACUAUUAAUAUUUUGAAUGUGUUCAGUGCAUCAUAAAUUUACUCUAAGAUAUAAAUCAAAAAUAAAAUUUUGAUGGUAUAAUAAAUUAUUUAAAUAUUUUUUAAUAACUGUAUAUGACUGACUAAAAUUUUAUUUAACCGCCGCGAAGCGUGGGUCAUAUAUUAUAUAUAUAGAUAUAUAAAUGUAUAACUCUGACAUCUUUUGUCGUUUCUCUUUUCGACGCCUCUUUUUAUUUCUUUCUUUAUUUCCUCGCCAUAUUUUUUUGUAUAUUUAUAAUUUCAAACUAUCAUCGAUAAUCAAAAAUAAUAAAAAAAUUAUUUUAAUAAUAUUUACCUGCUGCAUUGUGCGGAUAAUUAUACUAGUUCUAUUGAAAGCCGUUUUAAUUCAGCUAAAGAACAUAGGGAACAACGCCACGUAUUUAAAUUUUACAUUUUUUUCAAUCGAUGUUCGGAGUAAUUAUAACUUCAGCCUAUUGUAGUUGUAGUGUAAAAUUUUCUCAUUCACCAUACUGUUUUAUCUAUUGCUAUCAUUCCAAUCAUCACUUUGACAUGUGGAAUAUUUUAUCUUGUGGGUCAUUUACGUGUUCGAUCUCUUUUUUGAAUCAAAUGGCUAAAAUUUGAAAAAAAAUAUGAUCGGACGAUUCCCUCAUUGAUCAGCGCAUGAAAUGAACGAGAAUAUGAUCGGACGAUUCCCCCUCAUUGAUCAGGCCAUGAAACGAGCCCGAAUCGUUUUUAAUCGUGGCAGUGAAAACGCAAUAUGUGUCCAAACAACAAUCUGCGGACUAACGGUAUCGAAUUGAUUCGAAGGUUUUUGAAGCUGAUUUUGGGUGAAAUUAUGACCAAAAAAAAUUCUAUAAAGGCACACUUUAUGAAACAGUAUAUGAGUGAGAACUACGUUAAAUAUAAAAAUGUUUAAACAUCAUUCUUUAACGGCUUAAGUUUUUAGAGUACAACGGUUGUUUCACAUGGUAUCAGAGCAGAAGGUACUGAGUUCGAAUCACGCCAGACUUCUAGCAUAUUAAUUUCCUCCCAUUUAAUUCAAAUCCACGUCAUGGGCCGAUUAAAAAGUUUUAAGCCCAAACCGUUCUCUAAUAGUUUAACCUUUUAGAGUACAACGGUUGUUUCACAGACAAGUCCCUAAAGUUUUGACCAUUAAGCUGAUUUUUUUUUUUUUUAAAUCAAAUUCAUAUUGUUAAACUACUAUCUUUUAAAAAAAUAUAUAAAAUGUAUAGUUUGGUUUUGAUGCCUUGAAUUAAGAAGAUGAGAUGGAGCGUUAGCAUCAAACCUUCCUCACACAAUUUUUUUGCAAGCUCCUUUUAAAAAUUAGCCUAGUAAAAAGCUUAUUUGGCAUUGCCGGAUAAAUUUCCUUUGACGCUGUGUUUGAAUAUUAAUAUUAGAAAAGGUGUUACAUAAAAUAUUUAACCAACAUAUAUUUCCUCAAAAUAAAAUUAGAAAUUUCAAAUUAUAUAUAAUGUAAUUUAUUUUUUGCUAAAGCAAAUUAAUAUGCUCUUCAAUUCACCAAACAUUAGAAAUUAUUUUUGAACAAUUUUAGGACCGGAUUGGAUGCCGGAAUAAAAUAUCUAAUAAUAAAUUACUUCAUAUAAAAAUUUUAUUAUAUAAUUAGAGAUUAAGUUUAAUUUUUAUUUUUUAAAAAUAUUUUAAAAUUAAGGAUGACAAAAUACAACCUGAUUUGAUCAACUGAUCCAAUAUAAUCAAAUUAUAGAUAAAAAAAGGCUAAAUUACAGAAAACCUCCUUGUAAUAACCCGCUUUUUCACUUUCCCUCCCUGACAUUUAAAAACCUACACUUUGCCUCCUGUAAAAUAAAAAAUAUGCACUUCACCCCCUACCGUUAGGGUUCCGUCAGAGUUCCGUUAAAAAAUAUAUUUUUAUGCCGAAAAUACCCCUCCGCCAUCUCCGUGUUGCUUCGACUCUCUCCGACUCGCCACCUCGCCGCCGCCUCGCCGCCUAGCCGCCUCGCCGUCCUCCACUGCCUCGCUCUCACCCAUAUCCCCUUCGCCGUCCUCCGCCACCUUGCCUUAGCCUUCUUUGCCCUUCUCCUACUGUCGCCGAAAUCGAGGGCGGUGAGGGUGCAGAAGGAGAAGAGGAGCAAGUGGAGAAGGAAGUGGAAAGAAAUCGCGGCCGAUUGAGGUGGGAAUCACGGCCGAACGAAGGGGCGACUGAGGAAGAUGGGAAAGAAGACGACAAUGGCGAGGGGCAAAAUGGUCAUUUUACACACCGUAACCCCCUUGUGAACAUUUUUCAUUUUACAAGGUGGCAAAGUGUAGGUUUUUAAAUGUCACGGGAGGAAAGUAAAAAAGCAGAUUAUUAUAGAAAGAUUUUCUGUAAUUUAGCCAUAAAAAAAUUUUAUUCAAAAAAUUGAAUACGGCCUUUUGAUCACACUCCGUGCCUAUCUAUCUUAGGGGGCUGGGGAGCAUUGUUAGCUUAAAGAGACCAGCAUUUUAUUCUAUAGGCGGAGGUUAGUUUGAGCCGAGUUAUAUUCGAAAUGACAGGAGGCCGAAUCGGAUUGAACCAUAUUCAAAAUGGUGUGGAAUUAGUUGAGCCGAGUUAUUAUCGAGAUUUAUAUAGAUAUUAUAUUUGUAUACUUUAAGUUAAUUGAUUAUCUUAAAUUUUAAGAUAAUGUGUUGGGAAUAUUCGACACUUGACAACUGUUGCCAGCCUUUGGUCCACCUCCUUGACGCCCCCGCCCUCAGAAGACAGCCCUUUGCCAGAAGGAAUCAAAGGCCGUGCUAGAUAUGGCCUAGUCAAUGAGCCGACACAGCGCAGUCGAAUUCCAGCUAUUCAACUCCUAAACCUUCUAUUUUAAAAAAAAUAUGGGCUAGCUAUUCGAGUUAUCUAUAUCAUCGCAUGUGUGCCAUCUGUUUCUCGUCCGUAUUUUUUAGCAAGUGAUGUAUUCGUGGUGUAGGGUGAGAGAAUUUUGUAAUUCAGCGUGUCCCUAGGGACACGGGAAACAUUGUGUAGUGUAGCAACUUAUUUUCUAUUUACUAAUUUAAUUCAAUCGACAGGAUGAAGUAUAGUACGUUAUCCAGUACCGGGUUGUUAAAUUAGCUAGUAAGCUGUCUUGGAACGAGAAGGCGGAGUGGGAGAAAUUUAUGAAUUUCACUGACUCCACUUCGUUCCUCUAUCGCACUGAAGUUGAAAAGCUGUCUCACUGUAUAAUUACGAGUGUGAGUUUUAAUAAAUUUGUGACCUUAAUGAUGGAACAAAUGUCAUUUCCGGCGAUGUUUUUCGGAGUCACGAAUCAACCUUCAGAACCCCCCAAGAUAGCCGGGUCGUAGAACUAUCUGAUUGGUUGUAUGUCGUUAUAACUAUAGUAUAAUUACAGCUAGCUAGAUUCUGUGUUUGGCUUAAUUUAUUUAAAUCCAACUACUACAGUUGGAACUGGAUAAGAAAACUUAACCGCAAUAGUUAAAACUAUGCUUAAAUUGGCAACAGUUAUAACUGCAGUAGUUGGAGAGAAUAAUUUUAAACAAAAAUAUAAACUUAGACAAUCUCACAAUCACAUAUAUAAAAUAAUAAAAUUUUAAAUAUACGGUUCUCAACUGUAUGUAACCAGUGGAAUUAUUUAUAGUUAUGAUACUUUCUAUGAUAUAAGUAAAUAAAAUACAUACAUGAGUUAUAACUGUUGCAAACUAACUAUAUACAUUUAUAGCCGACCGUUCCUAACGCAAGUAGCAAAGAGCUUAAUGGUUGAUAUUUGAAGUCCCAAGUUCGAAUCUUAGUUGAUUCAUAUUUUUAACUAAGUUUAUUUUUAAAUGAAAUAAAUAAAACGAAUAGCAUAAUAUCUAUCUUUCAAAAAAAUACUGUAUAUAUUUAUAGUAAUAUGCAUAUUUAAUUAUACUGUAUUUUUAAUUGCAUCGAGCCAAAUGGGUGUCAAAUUAUCUAAUAGAGGUACCAAGCAAGCAUUGUUCGUAUAGAAGGGAACCACACCGUGCAUUAAAAGUACCAGUAAAAUCUAAGCUAACCAGCUAAAUUCAGACCGAAACCGACCCUGUUCCGUAGUCAUGUAGAGCUUACAGGAAAGUUCAUGCAUCACAUGCCCUCCAAUUAAUUCGUCCCCAUCCAGAAAUCAGCGGCGUAGUCGACGGAUUAGGCCUCCUCCUCGACUCAUAUCCGUUCCUCGUCCUCCGUUGUUGACUCUCACAGUAAUGUAAUGUAUACUUCAAUUAAUAAUGUACAAGCACACGCGCUGCAUACCCAUGGGUAGACACAUACAGCUGCAUCCGGAUUCCCAGUUACUGUACGAAGCUCACGCGAAACACUCCAGAACCAACCCAACACACUUCAUCUCCCUUCCUAUAUAUAUAUAUAUAUGUAGAGGCCCUGGCCUUCUCCUCCUCUUCCUACAAGACACACAACAAUCUCGCCUCUCCUCUCCUCUCCUCUCCUCUCCUCUCCUCUUCUAAAAUGGCUGCUUCUCACUUGUUACUAGUACUAAGCAUGCUUCUGAUGAGCUUAGCCCGUGCGUCCACGGGGUCUCGAAAACUCGCAGCUUUGUACCAGCCACAACCGAACCUCCUCACGUACCACGACGGCGCGGUGCUCGAAGGCGACAUCCCCGUCUCCGUCCUCUGGUACGGUCGCUUCACCCCGGCCCAAAAAUCCAUCGUCUCCGAUUUCCUCCUCUCCCUGAUGGCCCCCGCUCCCCAGACGCAAACCGCUGCCCCUUCCGUGUCCCAGUGGUGGGGCAGCAUCGACCGGCUCUACCUGUCCAAGGCCGCGGCGGGGGAGGGGGAGGGGAAGGCCCGGAUCCUGCUGGGCGAUCAGGUGUCGGACGAGGGGUGCUCUCUGGGGAAGUCGCUGACGACGCCGCAGGUGGCGGAGCUGGCGGGAAAAGCACGGGGGGCGGCGAAGAAGGGCGGCGGGAUCGCGGUGGUGCUCACGGCCGACGACGUGGCGGUCGAGGGCUUCUGCGUCAGCCGCUGCGGGGCCCACGCCUCGGACCGGGACUCCGGCGCCGCCUACGUGUGGGUCGGGAACGCGGCGGCCCAGUGCCCCGGCCAGUGCGCCUGGCCCUUCCACCGCCCCAUCUACGGCCCACAGACCCCGCCGUUGGUGGCCCCCAACGGCGACGUCGGGGUCGACGGCAUGGUGAUCAACCUCGCCAGCAUGAUCGCCGGCGCCGUCACGAACCCGUUCGGGGACGGGUUCUUCCAGGGGCCCAAGGAGGCGCCGUUAGAGGCGGCGACGGCGUGCGCGGGGGUGUACGGGAAGGGGGCGUAUCCGGGGUACGCCGGGGACCUGCUCGUGGACCCCGCCACGGGGGCGAGCUACAACGCCAAUGGGGCCCACGGCAGGAAGUACUUGGUCCCGGCCCUGUUUGACCCGUCGACGUCCUCCUGCUCCACCUUGGUGUGAGACUGGGG